rnacentral:rRNA from 1 species
GACAGAGGGUGCAAACGUUGUUCGGAAUUACUGGGCGUAAAGCGCACGUAGGCGGAUCGAUCAGUCAGGGGUGAAAUCCCAGGGCUCAACCCUGGAACUGCCUUUGAUACUGUCGAUCUGGAGUAUGGAAGAGGUGAGUGGAAUUCCGAGUGUAGAGGUGAAAUGCGCAGAUAUCAGGAGGAACACCGGUGGCGAAGGCGGAUCUCUGGGCCUUACCUGACGCUGAGGCGCGAAAGCUAGGGGAGCAAACAGG